AGUCAAAUUAGUGAUUUUUAUCUGUCUGUGUCUCUCUCAUUUCAGAACGGCGGCAUGAUCGAAAACACGUUUUAUCUUUCCAUUCCGUUGAUUGGUUGACAUGAGAUGAUAUUGGAUUUGUGCUCAUUUAUUAAUUAACAGGUGACACCAGCGCGUCUACCUUUAUAAAUCCAUCCCCUACUGUCUCGUUAAAAUGAAUCAGUUCUGGCUGUUGAGUCCAAGGAGGACUAGGUCACAGUUGAGCAGCAGGUGACCAAUGUUUAUAACUGUUUCAUUUAUGGAAUGCUUUGGAAAAAAAACCUUCCUCAUCCUUUGAGUUUGUCAAACAAUUUGGUUAAUGCAAGUUAAUUUUUAUCUACCUUUACCCCUUAUUUCUCUGCCAUUUUAAAACCUACUAUGUAAAGGCAGUAUAUGUAACCUGGAAUUGGCAUGUGUUUUAAACGUAGCGGAUGCCGACUAGACCAUUUUGAGAUGCUACCCCGUGUGGUUCAUACUAGGCCUACACCCUUUGAGUAAGAGGGUCCUUUUUUUUUUCAGACCGAUUCCUCAAAAGGUCAUUGAUCGCUGUCUCAUUGCAUCAUGUCCUUAUUGAUCCUGUUUGGUAGUUCAGGACUCUUGUUGACCACCAUGUCAACAGGUGGUCCUACACCACAUGACAUCACCCAGCACCGUAACGGCCACUGUGCAGACUAUACUGGGUCGUGGGCUGGUUGGUAAUCAUCUUGUCCUGCUGCUGUGGAGAGUCCCAGUCUUUAUCAGCAACAACAUAGUGACGGCUCAGAUCUUCUGGGAGAGGCUGUGGAUGAUACUGUGACGUGCAGAGUACUGGACAGAUGCAAGGUGUACGGACUCCAUGUUGACUCUCCCCAGAGACCUGCAGAACCAUCAUCUCCAUCUUGGUCUCCAGCAUCGCCGGGAUGGGGAAAGUGCAACAGCUGCUCGGCGCGAGGGUUCCGGAACCGAGGCCCAGGUUGCCACGGCAGCUGGGAUUCUGUUCCCGAUUUGCCGGGGUGCUGAGUCUGUCUCUCAGCUGGACAGCUCAGUGUCAUCAUUGACUUCUAUAAUCCUCUGGAACACCAAGGCUUAAAGAGCUGGGUGCAGCAUUAGACCAGGGUCCUAUUCCCUAUAUAGUGCACUACUUUAGACCAGAGUCCUAUAGAACCCUAUUCCCUAUAUAGUGCACUACUUUAGACCAGGGUCCACUGACAGCUUUCUGUUUCAGACUGAAGAUCUAAUGAAGUUCCUUGUAAAUCUGAUGAAAUAAAGGUAUUUAUUUAUUUACACUUUCUCAAAACGAGAGGAUAGCAGAAAAACAAAGAUGACUGUUGGGCCGGAACAAAUCCCUGCAGGAGCGUAGCUCCCCAGGACAAGAGUUGGCCACCACAUCACAGCUCUAAGAUAUCAGGGCCGUGUUCACAAAGCAUCUCAGAACAGGUGUGCUGAUCUAGCAUCA